AGUUUAUAAACAGAGAAACAUUCAGUUACUUGGGUUACCAUAAUGACAUGGAGGAUAUCAUGCGAAUAAAUGAAGAUGUUAUGAAUCGGCGAUUAAAAUCACAUGCUGAACUUUAUAAAUGGCCUCGAGUACAAGAUGUAUAAAAAUGCAAUGACAUAAAUAUUCAGAACCAUCAGUAUGUUUUAAACCUUGUUGAAACUCAAUGGAAAGCUAUAGAACAGUCUCAUACAAACGCUUAUUGCACAUACUUGCAACGGAUAAAUGUUACAGCUAGUUGCCAUGGCGAUAAUGGGGAGGGUACUUUGAAAGAAGUGAGACCAGACAGGUGCUCCUUUCCACCAGUGUUGCCAAGGUUGUACAAAAGAAAUGUGACGUCAUCAUCAAAAAUCGCCGGCAUGCAGUUGGAUGGCUUUUUACUAAAUAUUCGUAAACUUAUUAACGACACAUGUUACAUCAUUGUAAUUUAUUUAUCUGCUAUCGUUAUAAAGGAACUGCUUGGUACUGUACUGUGGAUUUAUAUCAAAAGAUCUGGUUUUGUAAGUUUGCGAAUCAUCUAUGAGACAGACGAAGCUCCUGGAUCAGCAGACAGUUCCACAACAAACAAAUGAGGUCCCGACUGAGACAAAUACAGAUAUGAUAGGAUCAUACUUAAGCGACACAGUUGAAAGACUGCAACAAAUACAGUUCUUUUUGCACUGAACAAAGUUUUAUAUAAAUACUCAUGUUCAAGUACAAUAUGACUGGGCACAAGUCGGGGGCUUCGUGAGAAUGAAUCGGUUAUUUAAGUAUUUGGGAUAAAAGUGUUAAAAUAGAGAUAAUCACCAAUCUAUUGUAUAAUUAUAUUGCAUAACACUUUGAUUGCAAUGAAAUACCAGUUUAAAACAGCAUAUCUUUCAUUAUUUGUUGGUUUCGUUGAAACAGACUAUAGGUGUUUAUUAUAAUUCAGUUCGAGCAAAUCAGAUUGCGCGGAUCGUAUUGUAGAAAUAGACACCAAGUGUUUUAUAGAAAUAAAGUACGAGUUAUAAUUAAGAUUACAAAGCUUUCAUAACUUGUUCGUAUGGCUGAAAUGGACUUUAAGUGUUUUUGUAUUUGCUACAUGGUGAAAUGCAGUAUAAACUAUUAUUACUAUGAAGUACGAGUAAGAUUGCAAAGCUUCUACUGUGGGAUCGUAUCAGCUGUUUAACUGUUGAGUUUAUAAUAAGAUAUGAUGUUUAUUUUGAUUAUAUGCAAUCUCGUCAGGUUGUUAUUUUAUUUCGCCAUUUUUAUAUAUGGCUACAGAUAUUUAUUAAACUAUUUGCAUGGUACACUGGUUUGGAUACUGUGCUGCCUCAUAAUGUGUGAUUUAUGUUAGUGGACUUCUCUAUAUCCAGUUCCAGCCUCUUUCAGCAUUUUCGGAAUGCCAUGUGCGCAUUCAGCAUAUUAGGUCCGAAAAAUGCCGAGUUGCCUUUUUCUUCUUAUUUUUUUAGAAGUUCAGUUGUGAUUAAAAUGUGCAUAAACUACCGACAAUAAAUUUUGGUGAAAGUAAGAACAAGUUAUAAAAAAUAAAUUUAAAAUGGGAAAUAAUCUCAUUUUUAAACAAGAGGCGAACUACUACAAAGGAGAUCGCAAGUAUCCCAUUUGGUGGGAGUUUUUCAAAACGCUUAUUGUCAUAUUUAGAAUAGAAACAACACAAAAUUAAAGACUAAGAAUACUUACCAUUGAUACAUUGAAUUUUAAAACUGUCAUUAACACCCGCAAUUCUUAAGAUGCGAGAAAACCUCCAAUGGGACCCACCCACGGCAAUAUCCCAAUGGGAAAUAAAUAAUCUCCCAUGGGAAGACAGACUAUUAAAUCGUCAAAGGAAUUCAUAUU